GACAGGUGUACAGAUACAAGUAGUGUUCAGAAUAGUACCAUACUGCUCACAUAGAUGCGGCCAAGACGUGAAGUGCAAGGGGACACCCAAAACUCUGUAAUCAAGUUUAUUAGACUCCAUGAAACUACUGAGUAUGUGCCUUAUAACACAUAGAGAAAAGAGAAUGAAUAGCUGGUGUUGCCUCGGGAUCUAGGUAAGAAUUGAGAUGCUGACACCAAGUAUGUGCUGUUUAAAGAGCUCUUUAUAACAUUAUCAUCAAUCUGAAUGUAGUGGAAACAAUGACUUGGUUCCUAUAACUAGCAUCAGUUGAAAGUGUGUCUGUUGUUUUAAACAGGCAAUUCUUCAGAUAGUCAUCAUGGGUAUCCGAGGACUUAUGAGUUUUGUGGAGGAUCAUAGUAAUGAGUUCUUCACUGAUUUGAAGCUGCAAGACACAAAAAUCAUCAUUGAUGGCUAUGCACUCUUUCACCGCCUUUGCUUCAGUUCAAACUUGGAGCUUCAGUAUGGAGGGGACUAUGAUUCUUUUGCAGAUGUUGUACAAAAAUUCUUUGAAUCACUGUUUGCUUGUAAUAUAUGUCCAUAUGUUGUAUUAGAUGGUGGAUGUGACAUUUCAGAUAAAAAGCUUACAACAUUAAAGGAUCGAGCUAGAGAGAAGAUCCAGAUGGCCCAUUCCCUUUCUGUUGGUGGGGGUGGGUACGUAUGUCCCUUACUCAUCCGGGAAGUGUUCAUUCAGGUUUUGAUCAAGCUGCAGGUGUGUUUUGUCCAGUGCUUUUCAGAAGCAGAUCGGGACAUUAUGACAUUGGCUAAUUACUGGAAUUGUCCUGUGUUAUCAUCAGAUAGUGACUUUUGCAUUUUUGACCUGAAAAUUGGGUUUUGUCCAUUGAAUAGCUUUCAGUGGAGAAACAUGAACACUAUUAAGGGCACACAAGACUACUAUAUCCCAGCCAAAUGCUUUUCCCUUGAUGCACUCUGCCGCCACUUCAGCAAUAUGAAUAAAGCUCUACUACCUCUCUUUGCUGUGCUGUGUGGAAAUGACCAUGUUAAUCUGCCUGUCGUGGAGACAUUCUUAAGUAAAGUACGUCUUCCUCUUGGAGGUACCAGUUCUAAGGGGAGAAGACACCACCGAAUUCUGGGACUUCUGAAUUGGCUGUCUCAUUUUGCUGACCCUACUGAAGCACUAGACAAUGUUCUGAAGUAUCUCCCAAAAAAGGAUCAAGAAAAUGUUAAGGAACUUCUGUGCUGUUUCAUGGAAGAAUACCAGCAGUCCCAGGUGAAGCUGCAGGACUUCUUCCAGUAUGGCACUUAUGCCUGUCCGGAUGCCCUGAAUCUGGGUUUACCAGAAUGGGUACUAGUGGCUUUGGCCAAAGGCCAGCUGUCUCCUUUCAUCAGCGAUGCUUUGGUGCUAAGACGGACCAUUCUUCACACACAGGUGGAAAACAUGCAGCGUCCAAAUGCCCACAGAAUAUCUCUGCCCAUCCGACAAAUCAUCUAUGGGCUGCUUUUGAAUGCUUCUCCACAUCUGGAAAACAUUUCCUGGAAUGCAUCGUCUCCUCAGCCUCUAGCUUUCAGUGAAGUGGAAAGGAUUAAUAAAAAUAUCAAAACAUCAAUUGUUGAUGCAGUAGAACUCGCCAAGGAUCAUUCUGAUUUGAACAAAUUGACUGAGGUUACCAACUCCGUUCUCGGCUGUGAACACAUCUGUUGACUAAAACUAAGUGUUAGGUGCUGAGAAAUAUGUCAGACUGUCUCAUUCUUCCAGAAGGUCAAGAAAGAAAUCUUUUUCUGGCUGUGUGCAGACACUAGGAAUACAACUAUUUUUUUCUUUUAAAAUCCUACAAAGUCCCCUUGGAGAUGCCCUUUCCAUAGCCGUAAUUUACGUACCUGUGAAAUGUCUGACUUGUAAGGUCCUUGUAGUUCUUAAGUCUUAAGAUUCAUUAAGGUAAAAUUAUCUCAGUAAGUCCAAAGCCCUCGUAGCUUCUGCUUGCUCUUACUUGAAAUGCACCCUCUUUUCAUGGAGUGAAAGUGAGUGUGUUGUGUUGUUGCAAACACAAUGCAGACAGUCCUUUAAAUAUUUGUCUCCCUUAAGUAUCCCUCAUCUACAGGCAGCCACCCAAGACAAUCCCUGUGUGGGAGAACACGGGCAACAGGACACUGAGCUGGGUAGGGGCAUGAGACAGGACCCAAACAAGCGGAAGCUGCAUGACAUGCCACAAAGGAUGCAGAUGAUCUAAGUCUGCUUUCUUCUGGAGGUGAUCAGUAGUGACAUCACGGAGAAGCUCUCCUUGGCUAGACGGCAGAUACUUCUGUUAGAAACACUGAAGGUGAAACAGCGCAUCCUGGACCCCGUCCCUGAUACAUUGAAGUUGCCCAUUGCUAUCAGUUGCUACUGGUUG